ensembl:lncRNA
UAACAAACUACUCCUAGAAAUUUUAUGACAUUUUAUAAUUUUUUUUUGGUCAGUCUAAUCUAAAGGCCUUUGCGAUGUUAAAUUGUGAACAUCUUGAGGUUUCAUUGAAGGGUGUGGCCAUGGCGCCGUGACAAAGUUCGAUGUCUCGCCAUGGGAAUAGAAGUUGUUGGAACUCAGGCAUAAGAUGUCCGAUCUUCCCCAAACUUCACAUGUUCGAAAAGAGUCUUGGCCUGAACACAUCUGAAGGUCAUUAUUCCACUAUAA